CCGAGUUAGGGUCCCCCUCGCGGGGCCCGACCUCCCAACCCCGUGUCUAACAAACCUGUACGUGUUGCUUCGGCGGACCGGCGUCGUGUUCGCGCACGACUCGCCGCCGGGGGAGUCCCCGGCCGUUCACGCGGCCGGCCCCUGGAGAGCGUCCGUCGACGGCCCAACCAAACAAACUCCCAAAACCAAAAUAUAUGAAUCAUUACCUUCUGAAUCAGACCUUUUGAUAUACCAAUCAAAAACA
rnacentral:misc_RNA from 1 species